GACGAACGCUGGCGGCAUGCUUAACACAUGCAAGUCGAACGGAAAGGCCCUGCUUUUGUGGGGUGCUCGAGUGGCGAACGGGUGAGUAACACGUGAGUAACCUGCCCUUGACUUUGGGAUAACUUCAGGAAACUGGGGCUAAUACCGGAUAGGAGCUCCUGCUGCAUGGUGGGGGUUGGAAAGUUUCGGCGGUUGGGGAUGGACUCGCGGCUUAUCAGCUUGUUGGUGGGGUAGUGGCUUACCAAGGCUUUGACGGGUAGCCGGCCUGAGAGGGUGACCGGCCACAUUGGGACUGAGAUACGGCCCAGACUCCUACGGGAGGCAGCAGUGGGGAAUAUUGCACAAUGGGCGGAAGCCUGAUGCAGCAACGCCGCGUGCGGGAUGACGGCCUUCGGGUUGUAAACCGCUUUCGCCUGUGACGAAGCGUGAGUGACGGUAAUGGGUAAAGAAGCACCGGCUAACUACGUGCCAGCAGCCGCGGUGAUACGUAGGGUGCGAGCGUUGUCCGGAUUUAUUGGGCGUAAAGGGCUCGUAGGUGGUUGAUCGCGUCGGAAGUGUAAUCUUGGGGCUUAACCCUGAGCGUGCUUUCGAUACGGGUUGACUUGAGGAAGGUAGGGGAGAAUGGAAUUCCUGGUGGAGCGGUGGAAUGCGCAGAUAUCAGGAGGAACACCAGUGGCGAAGGCGGUUCUCUGGGCCUUUCCUGACGCUGAGGAGCGAAAGCGUGGGGAGCGAACAGGCUUAGAUACCCUGGUAGUCCACGCUGUAAACGGUGGGUACUAGGUGUGGGGUCCAUUCCACGGGUUCCGUGCCGUAGCUAACGCUUUAAGUACCCCGCCUGGGGAGUACGGCCGCAAGGCUAAAACUCAAAGGAAUUGACGGGGCCCCGCACAAGCGGCGGAGCAUGCGGAUUAAUUCGAUGCAACGCGUAGAACCUUACCUGGGUUUGACAUGGAUCGGGAGUGCUCAGAGAUGGGUGUGCCUCUUUUGGGGUCGGUUCACAGGUGGUGCAUGGCUGUCGUCAGCUCGUGUCGUGAGAUGUUGGGUUAAGUCCCGCAACGAGCGCAACCCUUGUUCACUGUUGCCAGCACGUUAUGGUGGGGACUCAGUGGAGACCGCCGGGGUCAACUCGGAGGAAGGUGGGGAUGACGUCAAGUCAUCAUGCCCCUUAUGUCCAGGGCUUCACGCAUGCUACAAUGGCUGGUACAGAGAGUGGCGAGCCUGUGAGGGUGAGCGAAUCUCGGAAAGCCGGUCUCAGUUCGGAUUGGGGUCUGCAACUCGACCUCAUGAAGUCGGAGUCGCUAGUAAUCGCAGAUCAGCAACGCUGCGGUGAAUACGUUCCCGGGGCU
rnacentral:rRNA from 1 species